AAGAAGAAACAAUAGAUGCUUCGGCUCAGGUAUUGAUGAAGACUGCAUCUAGCUGAUAAUUAUUGUGAAUUGCAAGACACAUUAAAAAAUGAUAUUUUGAAAACAAGGUCCUCCCAAGAUAAAAUGAUC